GUUGUUUGCAGUAUUUUAAUACAGCAUUAAAUUGCUAUAACACUAAAGACAAGCCAAUACUAUCCAGCAAAUAAGGCACAUGUCGGAAUGCCAUUUUAUGGACAAUCCACAGCAGAAUCUUGACAGUCUUUUCCACAACCCUUUUAAUCAGUUGUCACUUUGGUGGCUGAGAUAAGCCUGUCUUCUCCGAGGCCUGUGUCCAUAGAAAAGUUAUUAUUAUUAUUAUUAUUUUUAAAGCUGUACAUGUUAAUGACCAGUUAAAGAAGAGAAGAAUUAUACAACUGAAACUGAGAAGUCAGUGAGUACAGCUAGUUUUUUUUUUAAAAAAGUAAUUAAACUAAUUGAAAUUGGCAGACAUUAAUAUAAUAACAACAUUAGUUUUAUAUAUUGUAGAUUGCUGCUCUAAAUAACUUUUGUAAGAGAAAUAAGAGCUCAGUAUAGGACUGGGCUCAUUUUAAACAGGGCUUAAAACAAACAAACAAUCUUAAUAUAACGGAACUAUGGGAAACCAUAAAGAAUAAGAUGCAUAUAAUAUACAUCAUUCUAACAUGCAUAUUGUAUCAUGUUAUGCAUUCUAAAUAAAAAUAAACACAAAAUGCUUAUAUCACUGCAACCCUUCCUUGGUUACAGCCAAUGACUGAGUGCAUUGCUUUAAUGCCAGUCCUACUGCUUUCCAGACCUCCGUGUGAUGUUUUUCCAACAGCUUUCGCAUCAUUUGGAGGCAAAGCUUCCCUUACCUACCUCCAAGACGCAGUGUAAAAAAUAAACACUCCUAACCAUCUUACAGAAUUUCUGAAAAGCAAAGAGCAACUCUUUGGAUCCUUUCACACAUUGCACAACAAGAAACCCAGAGUUCUCACUGAGAGAGCGCAUGUGAUCGGUUGUCUCACAAACAGAUCUGGUUCAUGUAUGUGCUUCUACUUUCUCAAAUCUGACCUUCGGGCAUGGAGAUGGAGAUUUUUUUUUUUAAAGAUCCUAGGUGUACAUUUAAGUGGAAUGUGUGAAGACGUCCGUAGAGCAUUUGCGCUUCAGUUCUUAUCUUUGCACUAGAGUCUCUGCUGUUUCUUCUUGAAAAUGCGCAGAUACAGCAUUCAUUAGGCCCAGCCUAAGUGCAUGUCUCAGGACUAGGCUGUUAGUGUAUCUUUCUCAAAGUCAUAAAGUGUAAAAGUAACUUCAAUACCUGAUUCUUACAAAAUCAGUCAUAGCUUUUCUAAAAAGGCAAUACUUUCCAAAAUACACAUAUAAAUAAAUUGAAUACGCAUAUUAAUAUAAGUUCUAAACACCCGAAUAAUAUAUUGGUUACUUAAUACUGAUAUUUUCAUCCAAAUAAAAGCAAUGAGAAGAACAAUAUGGCUUAAAGAAUUGCGAGGGUUCAUUUUCUUGUCAGAAUUAUGUACCAACUUUCAUAUAAUAUUCUAUGUAGACAAUAUUUCCUUCUUAAUGUAGUUCUGUUGCAUACUUUAUACAGACAAAGGCAUUGUAAAAAAAAGAAGAAGAAAGAAAAGAAAAAAGCAAAUUCCUUCCAUAAAUAUUUUCUUGAGGAUACACCCUUAAUUCUGUAUAAUACUUAAGAAAACUCUUAGCUCUGUUAGUAUCAUAGUAGAAAACUAAGACCCUUUCUGAAAGCUUCAGAGUUGUAAAAACACUUUAAAAAACCUCAAGCAAAACUAACAAUAGUAUUUUUAAAAGGCCCUCAAAUAUAUACAAAAAGGUUACUGCAAAGAGUUUUCCAAUAACAAUUCAGUAUUACAAAGACAUAUUUGUAACCAUUCAAAAAUUUUAAACAUCUACAAAGUUUUCCAAAAUACACACACAGUAUUAAAAAAAAAAAAAAAUGGAGAGGAACUCUAUGUCAAGUAUAACUCAAGAUAAAUACCCUUCCGCAAGUAAAACUGUAAAAUAUUUCAUAACAGGGAGAGUAAACAUUAAUAUCAAUUGACUAUAUUUAUUAACUGCACACGAUUGUCCCUUUGAUACUCACCCUAAGAAAACACAAGCCUUCAUUUGUUUAGUUACCAUGUUGGUCAGGCUCACAGAGUGCUACAAUCAUGUAGGAAUAUUUCUAGAGGCAGUGGUUUUUGCAGACACGAAAGCGAGAGCACUGAGAUUUUGGCUAGGUAUAAAGUCAUGCCUUAAAGGAAGAUGCAGCACGAAACAUUCCUUUAAGGCUGAAUUAGAAACUAUUUGUCUGUUGGACUGCGUUGUAACAAGGCUUGUAGAGAGAGGCAUUCAACAGAAGGCGUGCAUGACAUCACUUGCCCCACCGCAGACCCCCCCACCCACUUCCACAUGGGUCAUUUGCAGCCCUGAAUGAAGAUCUCCACACAUUGUGCACAGUCCAGCCUAAAUGCGAUCCUUUUAGGGACAAUGAUCUUAACAGGUAGUCAAAAUCAUGUUAUACAGAAUUGGCUUGUUCCAUCAAGCUCUGUACUGCUAUUACUUCUUGCCGUCAGCGGAUCUCAGAAUUCUUUUCUCGGCUUUCUUUAAAGUCAGGGUAUUUCCUAGAAUCUCAUACAAGCAAACCAUACAUUCGGAGUCCUGUUCUGUCUGCCGCUGACCUUAAUGAAAUGCCAAAGUCGUUUCCUGAAGAGAUUCUUUAGCGUGAUCUAUUGGGCCUACCUGAAGCAGCUCGGGCUGGGCUUUCCAUCCAGGUAAUGCAAUGAACUUCAUCAAGGUGGAGAAAUGCCAUCGUUUACCACAACGCGGCCCUCGAUUGGCACACAUGCAGACAUCUCUUCCAACCCUUCCACUUACUAACUGGAAUCCUCUCCAAGCUAUAAGAAUAGCCAGAGGGGGCCUCAGAAAUGAAGGGGAGCAACAUGGCUGCUUUGCCCCAUUCUUAGAAGCAGGAAAACCACACUGGUUGGCAAAAUUGGUGGAAGGUUGUGCUUCACUCAAGCUGUUGUGAAAGCAGCCUGCUGCUUUCAAGAUUUGCACAGCACCUGAAAGCCCCUUUCAGCUGUCACAAGUUAAUUGAAGUGGAACUUCCAUGUAAAUGGAAUUAGGCUGAAAAAGUUUCAAUGUCAAUGGGAAUUCCCAGGAAAAGUAGUGGGUGCCCUAUGUUUUAAACUUAUUGUCUUACAUGUAUCUCUGAGGUGGGGAAUGAUAUACUCACAACGUGUGUGAUAAUGGCAUUCUUGAAGACAAAUAAAUGUCACUUUGGCACUAAUAACCUUAUGAGAAUUGCCAGAGAUCCAUGGAUUUCUAAUUCAAGCCAGUAGAUGGGUUUUGGUGGAUUAUGUAUAACUUCCAAGUCUAUCUCACAACUUUCCAGGAGGAACUUUCUUACAGCAGCCUUUUGCACCUCCUUGAAAGUCCAGGAAUAUGCCCCAGAUGGAAAUCAAAAUUAGGAAGCCUUUCUGUGCAUAGCUGAAGCUGUGGAGUCCUUGGGCUGCACAUAUUCACCUCUAUUGAUAGCUGAAAUUAUACUAUCCAUGGUACUCCUGCAAUAAGAAUAACUGCCUCCUAUUUAAAAUGAUUUAUGCUGAACUGGUCUUCAUCUUUAACAUCAGUUGAAACAAAUAAUCACAUCUACAUUUUGUUCUCCAAGUAUAUCUUUGGGGAAUUUUGGGUAAGUAGGUAUGACAACAGCUAGAAAGAUUAUGGCUAAUAUUUUAUAAGUGCUCAAACAACUACAGUAACAACGACAACAACAACAACAAAACCUGUAGCUGGCUUAAUAUAAGGUUGUAUUGUAAUGCAUUUCUCCUAUUAUUCAACCCUUACCCCUACUGGAAAAGAAAAUCGAACUUUAAAUGCUAAAGUUCAAGUUUUCAAAAGCCAUCACUCAAUUCUUCCUGCUCUAGAUAAUGACACAAUGCAAGAACGGGUAAGGGUUCUAAUUAUCCAGAGAUUCUCUGGUUUAUAUAUUUACUUAAAACAUGCUUUACUACCAUUUUCUUGACUCCAAUUGAGUCUUUAAUCAUGUAAACAAUGCAGAGGAAAACUUUCGGCGUUGUUAUUUCAGAGGAGUUGCUAUGUAAACAAGAACUGAUGUAGAAAUGGUCUAAUCGCUUGCUUUUGGAUAAUUACAGUGGGUUCAUCUACACUUUCUCAUUUUUACAGUAAACCCACCGACAAUAAUGGGACUUAAAGUAGUAGUUUACAUACAACUGUUGAAUCCAAUAAAAUGAUGACCAAACGCUUAUAAAUUUUAUCCAGCUAUAUCAAGGAAAGUUACUUGAGGCUAUAAAUUAAUAAAGUUCAUAAUAUCCACAUAAGAGAUGCACUUAGUUAAUAUGACAUCGUUGUCAUUGAAGCCUAAACAGAUUUUGCAACUUUUCUAAAUAAGAAAGCCACUCCAUUACAAGAUGCUGUAACCUAGCCAACUAUUUGUAUCACAAGACAGAUUUUCCACUGAUUCCUAAAAGCAAAAGUUGCUCACAACUGAUUCUAAGCCUUAUCUGUUCCAUGAACAUUGGGAAAAUAAUUCUUGGUGUUGGCAACAUUUGCCAAGAAUGUCUCUCCGAAUGUGUUGGACCACUAUUCCCAUCAUGUCCAAACCAUUGGUGUAAUGCUGGAUUGGAGGGAAGCUGUAGCCUCAUAUCUCUGGAAAGCAUUUGGAGAAAGCUGGAACAGGAUAUCUAUGCACACUGCUCCUUAAAGCUCUAUAUGCAGAAAGGUAUGGGUUGAAUUGGUACUUUAUAGGAAGAGACCAAGAGUAGCCAGACAGGGGUAGCUAGUUCCGUCAAAUAUCUCCCUGCCUUGUAGGCAUUUACCCUGCAACUCUUGUGGUUUAGCAAGAUAAGACAGGCCCCUGCUCUCUCAGGUCCUAGAUGUGAAAAACCUAACAGCAUCAUGAAACUCUUCCUGAUGCAAAGAAUCUCUGCUCACUUUUAAUCUGCAGCGCAGAGCAUGGUUUCACUCUUCUUGAUAAUCUGGCAAUGGCCUGAGAUGAUUUAAUACAAAAUAACUCCACUUUCCAAGAUUGCCCUGAUCUGAAUUCCCAAUCCACCUCUAAUUCCCUAUGGAAACAGGUGGUACCUAGAACAUUUCAACCUCUACUUUAACAACAUUUAAAAUGAACAUAAUUUAAAAAAAGAAGCUCAACUAUUAUUUAGGACAGUUCCAGUAAUAGAUUUGCUUUGUCAUAAAGCUUCAAAAUUCUCUUAAUAGAAUUGCUUAAGUAUGUUUGAAAUAUAGAGAAGACCUACCUAAGGAUAAUUGUCUUUAUAUACUCAUAGAAGCCCUAUAGUUAUCUAGACUAGCAGUAAUUAUUUCACUGAAAAUGAGUACAUCUAGACAGAACAGUCGCUUUCUGAAGAUGUCAUGACAUCUAAAAUUAAUAAAUAAGACUGAUAGAUUUUUCAGUCAAGAUGCUGAGAUUAAUUCCCCCAUCAUUCACAGGAAAUGUAUUUCUACCCCUCCUAACUAGGUCUAAGGAUUUUGAUUAGCAAAUCUUCCUGCAUUGAUGGAAGAGCAGCUUUGCAGUGGGAAGAAGCAUGGUUGAGGUGCCUCCUUCUAAGACAGGUGUGGAACCACACCUAAACUUUGAAUGGCAACUGAGCACUGCAUUUCUAAAAGCAAUGGCUAAGCCAAGGACCAGAACUAAAUCUGAUUUGAUUUACAUUUACUUAGAAUUAAAGACAGUUAAAAAGAUUACUUUUCCAGUUGUGCAUUUAGUAGCUUCCUUAUUAAAAAUUACCAUUAGUUUAACUUCCAUAGGUCCCUGGAAGCCACACUCUGACUUUCAGAGGUCUUUCAGUUGCCACGCAAAACUGGGGAAGUUGGAGUGGAUACCUCUCUUCUAUGGUGUUAUAGGGCAGCUUAUCUGGUAAAUGAAAUUUUGGUCUAUCAUAUGGCAUAAUACAUUAUGUGCCAGUAAGUGAAUUCCUACCAUCUUUUUCUGGUGUUCUAAACUCAAGGUUAAUAGAAAUUAUAGGCUCCCAUUGGGAGACCACCAAAACGUCUUGGCCAUAAUAACAGUCCAUUAGUUGAGUGUACCAAUUGGCCACUUCCACUAGAUUGGGUCUGAUCCCGUGGAGAUUCUCCAUGUAGUAAACCUGGGCCAAAGGAAGUAUGUAAACAAACUCCUAAAAUAACUUUCUGGGGUUCUAAACUCAAGGCCAAAUCUUGGUCCUAGAGGCACUCCAUCAGGUCAUUUCUAUUAGGUGACCUUGAUCAUACAGUGAAUCCCCAAUCAGUGCUGCAAAAUUCAGAGCAUCCAACACUCUUGCUGGCCUGAAAAGUCUCUGAAUUGUGAGGUGGUACCCUUUAAGGCUAUCCAUAAUUAGAUUGGCUAUAGACAUCUAGAAGUAAUGACACCAUGCAAAACUGAAAUAAAUAGCAAUCUGUAGAUGAACUGUUUUGCUCUGAUGCCACACAAUACAGCUCCAAACUGUUUUGCUCUGAUGCCACAUGAUACAGAUGUUCUUGCCUUCUAUUACCACUGUCUGUAAGGCCACAUGUGGCUCAAGGCAAAGUGAGAUACAGUUCAAGAACAAAGAACAGAGAGGAUUCGGUUUAGGGCCUUCUGCAGAGAAACUCCUCAUAUCUGUUUUUCAGAAUUCUAGAGAUGUUGAAUGGAUGAGUAUCACAUCUCUUCCAGCUCUCUUCCUCUGUAAUGGCAUAGGUUAUGAGAGAGCGAGAGUGAAGGUAUCUGGAGGGGUGAUUAAAAAAGAUACCCACACACAUGCAAUCGAAGCCCUCCCUGGCCCCACCUGUCAAAAAGGGCUAGGCUUCAAUUGUGAAGGUGCCAUUUUGCCUUUUUUCAACCUUCCCUCUGCAGAUGCCCAUGUGUGUAUGUGAAAGAAAGAGAUAGCCAGCAGGAUUUCCCAGCCCAGUGUCCUCUAAACGUGUCAAACGUUACUUUCCUUCACCCCAGUUGGCUGAGGAUUACGGUGUUGCAGUCCAACCCAUUGAGAGAACACCCAUUUGGGAAAGAAUGGCAUGAAAGCAAGGUGAAACUCUGGCCUGUCGCACCACUAAUUGUUGAAGGAGGAAAGGGCCAAACUCCACCAGAGGUUAUGUGGUUGGGGAUGACGAAGGUAGAGAAACAGGCACAGUGGAGAGAGGGAGCUGAAUUAGGAUAGUCUUGUCUGUUGAGAACAAGGUAACAUUUCUCUUGUUGGCUAGAUACGCAGCCUGAGGAUAGGAGUUUUAGCCACCAUUGCAUAGCUAAAGAAAAAUGUAAGGGUAACUGAGAUGCCAUGGGAAGUGGGGGUAAACAACAACAGCCUGCAAAAAUUAGUGUAUUUAUGCAAGCUUGUUCUGAAAUAGAUCUCCUGGAUUUCGGUGGGACAUCCAUCUACAUAAAUGUGCUUAAAGUUGCUGCACACGAAAGACAAAUUCCUCUUUCGCUCUACGUGUUCUACCAUCGUUACAUUUCCAUGCAAACCACUCGUCAGACAAUUAUUCACUUGUUCUUUUAAGCCCUCAGAUUCAAAAAAACUGAAGCUCACCAAAAGCCUCUCUUCAGUGGCCCUGGAAGACUCUUGGAAAGCAAGCAAGCUAGUAGAUCUUACCGACCAUCCCCAUAGUCAAGAAAAACGAAUAUUUGCAUCACAUCCUUAAUUCUUUCCUAGAGGAGGCCUUAUAGCUUUAGUGAAUUCUAGUUGGCAGCAUAGCUAAAACACAUUUUGAGUAAUGCCUGCCAACCCCCACCCCCCUUAACGUCAUCCAACCAGAUCCUCCUGACAUGACGGGUCUCUCGGGACAAACAACACUAGUUCACUUGGGGUAGAAUACUGGAAUUGUGUAAACAAUCAGCGGAAACCACCAUAGUGAUUCCAUCAUGAAUAUGGCGGGUAUAGUCCAGCAAGA